AUUUAGCCAAAAUGCUAUUGAAAGACCCCCGAAGGGAGACCCUCACUCAAGCCUCGGGACAGCCGCGGACCCAAGAACACACUGAGACCG
rnacentral:pre_miRNA from 7 species